rnacentral:tRNA from 1 species
UGCCGUGUGUCCGGGCGGUGAGGAAGCGGUCUUGAAAACCGUUGAUCGGAAACGAUUUGCAGGUUCGAAUCCUGUGCACGGCGCCA